UCCUCCCCCUCCUCCCGGCCCCGCCCCGCCUCGCCCCGCCCCCUCCUGUGCCCGCCGCAUCCCGCCGCGGCCUGGGGAGAGGGCCUAGCAGGGCAGAUGUGCGACACCUCGUCUUGGAGUGACUACAUGGUGGCCAAAAGCAAAGGGGAGGAAAGAGGCCGGCCUUGGGCAGGAGGCAGGGGCGAGGUGUAGGGCACGUGCGCCCCCUGAGCCACCCCCUGCAAAACGGCGCCACCUCGCUGCGGUCCACAGUGCCCACGGCAGGUGGUCGCCGACCCAAGUGCUCAGCACCCACUGCCAACACCGUCGUGGCCGUCGGCAGGAGCUCACCACCGCCAUGCCCCUGCCGCUGACAUGGCCGCCUACAGGAGCUUGCCAGGCCCUUCUUUGCUCUGAAGGGUACAGGUUCCCCUCACUUUAUGCUGUACGUGUGGUCCUCGAAAACGGCCUGUGAGAGAGGAAGAAAGAGAGACAUUCCUUGAACCCUUCUUGCUACGCUUUGGUUCACCUUUUUCUGACCUGUAAGUGAGCGGACUUGGAAGAUGACACGAGACCUGCAUCAGAGAGGUCAACUUGUGGCUUCGGGAAUGGUGUCUCGAGGCAUGCUUCGGCUUCCUAGACAACGACCCACAUAUCAGGACGAGAGACAUGCUUGGGUGGGAUGGGCUUUGUCAUGACCCAAUGAUUGUGUGUGCGCUUCGGCACUGCAGAAUUAUUUCCCGCCACAUGGAACUUUCUUUGCACGGUGCAAUUCUCAGCUGCAGAGAGAAAACCCCGGUGCAAAAAGUUCCCACCAGGCGUAUGCAAAUUUGUGCCCCCUAUUGGCUGUUUCUAAAUUAUUCCCACAUGGCAGCUAGCGAUUGGCUUGCUAGCCAUAUAAGAGGCUUGAGCAGUUUCCGCCCAAGCCAGAGAUCUCCGAGAAUCUUGGGAGGACCCCAAGAUCCCCGAUUCCGAGAAUUCCGGGAGAAAUCCGAGAGAAUUCCAUGAUUACUUCGUGGACUUCUACGUAAAUUUCGGACCGACUGGUGGUCUGAUCAGUUACCAAGAAUCUCUCCCCGUCACCAAACGAUCCCGACGUAUCCCUACCCUGCACGCUCGUCGAGAGUCAUAUUUCGGACUCUCAUUUUGUUAUCCAGAGCUCUAGCAAACUCCGUGCGUGUGCGUCUUCGGUGGAGCCUAGCAAACUCCAUGUGUGUUUGUCUGUAAUUGCAACGCAAGCAAGUCUUUCUGCCUGCACCACGACCACCUACGGUGUAAGUAAAGUUUUCUUUGUUCAACCGCUACGAGUCCGUGCCUAAUUCUAGUCUGUUGUGCUGAAUUUCCCUGCCCACAUGCCCGGGCUGCUGGCCACAGCCCCUCGGCCCCGACAGGCUUCACCUUUCCCCCAAAGGUACGCGUUGGUUCUUUUCUAGGUUGGCUGAUCUCCUCUGGCAGGCUUUAAACUAGGCUCGUCGGGGGAAGGGGAAGACGAGGGCAGAGGAAGCCUUGGACCACUAAACCAAGCAUCACCCACAAGAACAGCUCAGCCUAGACCAAUGAUGAGCAGAACAAAUACCCAGCAGGUGCACAGCCCCACCAGGGGAGACGCCUUGUUGGAUCUGGUCCUGGCCAUGGGCGAUGACCUGGUGAGGGGUCUGCGGGUGCUCAACCACCUGGGCGACAGUGAUCAUUGCCUGCUGGAAUUCACCGUCCAGCGCAAGGUAGAAAAGGCCUGCAGCAAGGCAGCAGCUCUGGACUUCAGGAGGGCAGAUUUCACUAAGGUAAGGAGAAUAGUCGGGGAGGCACUGAGGUCCUGGAGGGGAGAGGAGUCGGGUGUCCAAGAAGAGUGGUCGUUCCUUAAGGAGAUGAUCCUCCAAGCCCAAAGGGAGGUAAUCCCAGCAUGGAUCAAAGCGGGCAAGAGGGCGCAAAAGCCCCUAUAGCUCACCAAAAGCAUACGGGAAUGUCUCCUAUCUAAAAAGGAGGCAUACACCCAAUGGAAGGGAGGGGCCAUCACCAGGGAGGACUAUACCUCGGUUGCUCAGGGCUGUAGGAGGGCAGUCAGGAAGGCCAAGGCGGAGAUGAAACUGGGACUAGCUACCCGGAUCAAGUACAACAAGAAGUCCUUUUUUAAAUACAUAGUGGGUAAAAAAAAGGUACCGGGUAACGUGGGGCCUCUGCAGGACACACUAGGAAAUCUGGUCGUCGCACCAGGCAGCAAAGCUAACCUAUUUAACAAUCUCUUUGCCUCCAUUUUUCUGAGCAGGGACCGGGUCACCCCCACCCCCACCGGAACCCCCAUAGGACACAGGGGAGGCACACCCAGGCCUAGAGUUGGUGAACUGGAGGGACUGGAUGUAUUUAAAUCAUCAGGUCCUGACGAUCUCCACCCCAGAGUGCUGAGGGAAUUAGCAGAGGUCAUUGUGGGACCCCUGGCAGAGCUUUACGAGCACUCGUGGUGCCAGAGGACUGGAAAAGGGCCAGUGUGCUUCCCAUUUUCAAAAAAGGGAGGAAGGAUGACUCAGGAAACUAUAGGCCAGUCAGUCUUACCUCGAUCCUGGGUAAGUUUUUUGAGAGAAUUAUCCUGUGAGGGGCCAGCAGGGGAGAUUAAACUUAGGGGCAAUCAACAUGGGUUCAUUAGAGGCAGGUCCUGUCAGACCAGCCUGGUGGCCUUCUACAACCAGGUCACAAAAUCCUUAGAUGCAGGUGAAGCAGUGGAUGUAGUCUUUCUGGACUUUAAGAAGGCCUUCGACACUGUCUCUCACCCCAUUCUCAUUAAAAAACUAGGAGACUGUGGCAUCAACACCUACACAGUCAAAUGGGUCACUAGUUGGCUGGAGGGCCGCACCCAGAGAGUGGUGGUGGACGGGUCUUAUUCGACCUGGAGGGAUGUGGGCAGUGGUAGGUCCAGGGCUCGGUCCUCGGGCCCAUGCUGUUCAACAUCUUCAUCAGCGACUUGGACGAGGGUGUAAAAAGCUCCCUGUUCAAAUUUGCAGACAACAAUAAGAUGUGGGGAGAAGUGGGCAAGCUAGAAGGGAGGAAUAGGCUGCAAUCCGACCUAGACAGAUUACAGGGGUGGGCGGAUGAGAACAGGAUGGGUUUCAACACUGACAAGUGCAAGGUACUGCACCUGGGGAGGAAGAACCAGCAGCAGACCUACAUGCUGGGGAACUCCCUUCUCGUUAGUGCAGAGGCAGAAAAGGAUCUUGGAGUCAUUAUUGACACCAAAAUGAACGUGGGCCGAAAGUGUGGGGAUGCGGUCAGGAAGGCCAACCGUGCCUUAUCAUGCAUCCACAGAUGCAUCUCAUGCAGGUCCAAGGAGGUGAUCCUCCCCCUCUGUGACAUUGGUCAGGCUGCAGUUGGAGUACUGCGUCCAGUUCUGGGCGUCGCACUUCAGGAGGGAUGUGGACAGCAUGGAGAGGGUCCAGAGGAGGGCCACCCGCAUGAUCAGGGGGCAGCAGGGCAGGCCCUACGAGGAGAGGCUAUGGGACCCGAACCUGUUCAGCCUUCACAAGAGAAGGCUGAAGGGGGAUCUAGUGGCUGUUUACAAACUGGUCAGGGGGCACCAGCAGCCAUUAGGAGAGUCCCUGUUCCCCCAAACACUACCAGGAGUGACAAGAAAUAACGGCACAAGCUGGCAGAGAGUAGAUUCAGGCUAGAUAUCAGGAAAGCACUACUUCACAGUUAGGGCGGCUAGGAUCUGGAACCAACUUCCAAGAGAAGUGGUGCUGGCUCCUACCCUGGGGGUCUUUAAGAGGAGGCUGGAUGUACACCUUGCCAAGGUCAUCUGACCCCAGUACUCUUUCCUGCCACGGCAGGGGGGUUGGACUUGAUAAUCUGCUCAGGUCCUUUCUGCCCCUACCAACUAUGAAACUAUAAGAUGACAUAAAUGUCAAAAACGUUGUAAAAAAUACAAUUGAGAAGUAAAUAAUAUAAAAUAAGAGAUCAGUAGGGAAAAAGUGAGGUGGUAACAGAUUAUUAUUUACUGAGUUCCAUUCAACUGUAUUGCUUUCCAUAUUUAUGUGUAGCUUGCCUUUUGUAUGGGGCUGAACUAAGCUGCCAAAUUCAAAUACAGGCAGUCCUUGACUUACAACGUUUCGAGUUACAACAUUUAUAACUUGAUACCCUGUUUCAACUUUCUGAUGUCAGUUUUGCAACGCUUGAUCUGAUGCGACACCACACCAGAAAACAAGUUCACUGAGUUGCCCAUGUCCCUGGAGAACAUCUGUCCAAACUUGCUUGGACAUUUCUUUAAGAAAGCAGACAAGACUCCAGAAAAACCUGCAGCCAAGGCUCCUGAGAAGACACCAGUCAAGAGCCCUUCAAAAAGUCCAAACAAGAGCCCUUCAAAAUGUCCAGUAAAGUUACCUCAAAGUCCUUCUAAAUCAAUAUGAUUGCUAUUUACAAUAUAAAUGCAUUAAUGUAGCUAUAUUAUUCAUCUAUAAUUGAUUGAGUACAAAAUUCUGGGUUAUUUUUGGUGAAAAUAGGGUAUUGGGCCCAAAUAGGGUUCAGGACCCAAUCCCCAUUUAUAAUAUUGUUUCCUAUGGGAAAAACGGUUCCAAGUUAAGACACGGUUUUCAGGAACCAGUUGUGUCAUAAGUCUGAGGACUGCCUGUACAACCUAAUUUUAGGAUAGUCACAACUGAAUUUGUAGGUACUGUGUCUCCAGCUACACUGCCCUGCCUUUCUAGAAGCAGAGCAAUGCAGUCUAGGGCUGUUCAAACAUGACACUAUCUGAAGAGCUGUCCGAAGCGUUGUCAGUUCACACUUUCAGAUUGGAAAAGGCUCUGAGAGAAACUCAACUGAAAACACUACACCUUGCCAUGUUUAGGAACAAAAUGUCCGUGGUGACUGUGUUUCAUGUGAUUUCCAGUCUCUCUUGUUAAUUUUGGUCUUUUUCAUUAGUUUUUAUUUCUCUGAAUUUUUGCAUUGCCUGAUUCAGACUCAUGUGAAAGCCUUUUUCCCCCAAAAUUUCCAGUAUAGUUUUCAAAUUCCAAGAAGUAUAAGAAACCUACCAAAUUUGAGACAAGGGAGGGAGGUUCCUGCACUUGAAUCUCACCCUUAUGACUUAGAAACCAAGCUUUUUAUUUAUUUUUAAAUACUUUACAACAUGAAAUUUACCUUGCCAAUAAUAUAUACUAUAUUCCUCAUCCAAAAA